GAACGGGUGAGUAAUACAUCGGAACGUGCCCAGUAAUGGGGGAUAGCUCGGCGAAAGCCGGAUUAAUACCGCAUACGCCCUGAGGGGGAAAGUGGGGGACCGCAAGGCCUCACGUUAUUGGAGCGGCCGAUGGCUGAUUAGCUAGUUGGUAGGGUAAAGGCCUACCAAGCCGACGAUCAGUAGCUGGUCUGAGAGGACGAUCAGCCACACUGGAACUGAGACACGGUCCAGACUCC
rnacentral:rRNA from 1 species